AGAGUUUGAUCCUGGCUCAGAUUGAACGCUGGCGGCAGGCUUAACACAUGCAAGUCGAGCGGUAACAGGGGGUGCUUGCACCCCGCUGACGAGCGGCGGACGGGUGAGUAAUGCUUAGGAAUCUGCCCAGUAGUGGGGGAUAGCCCGGGGAAACCCGGAUUAAUACCGCAUACGUCCUACGGGAGAAAGCAGGGGAUCUUCGGACCUUGCGCUACGGGAUGAGCCUAAUUCGGAUUACCUAGUUGGGGGGGUAAAGGCCUACCAAGGCGACAAUCCGUACCUGGUCUGAAAGGAUGAUCAGCCACAUCGGGACUGAAACACGGCCCGAACUCCUACGGGAGGCAGCAGUGGGGAAUAUUGGACAAUGGGGGCAACCCUGAUCCAGCCAUGCCGCGUGUGUGAAGAAGGCUUUCGGGUUGUAAAGCACUUUCAGCGAGAAGGAAGGCUCUGAAGUUAAUACCUUCAGGGAUUGACGUUACUCGCAGAAGAAGCACCGGCUAACUCCGUGCCAGCAGCCGCGGUAAUACGGAGGGUGCAAGCGUUAAUCGGAAUUACUGGGCGUAAAGCGCGCGUAGGUGGUUAAGGUAAGCGAGAUGUGAAAGCCCCGGGCUUAACCUGGGAACGGCAUUUCGAACUGUCUGACUAGAGUGUGGUAGAGGGUAGUGGAAUUUCCUGUGUAGCGGUGAAAUGCGUAGAUAUAGGAAGGAACACCAGUGGCGAAGGCGGCUACCUGGACCAACACUGACACUGAGGUGCGAAAGCGUGGGGAGCAAACAGGAUUAGAUACCCUGGUAGUCCACGCCGUAAACGAUGUCAACUAGCCGUUGGGACUCUUGAAGUCUUAGUGGCGCAGCUAACGCACUAAGUUGACCGCCUGGGGAGUACGGCCGCAAGGUUAAAACUCAAAUGAAUUGACGGGGGCCCGCACAAGCGGUGGAGCAUGUGGUUUAAUUCGACGCAACGCGAAGAACCUUACCUGGCCUUGACAUCCAGAGAACUUUCCAGAGAUGGAUUGGUGCCUUCGGGAACUCUGAGACAGGUGCUGCAUGGCCGUCGUCAGCUCGUGUCGUGAGAUGUUGGGUUAAGUCCCGUAACGAGCGCAACCCCUAUCCCUGGUUGCUAGCAGGUAAUGCUGAGAACUCCAGGGAGACUGCCGGUGACAAACCGGAGGAAGGUGGGGAUGACGUCAGGUCAUCAUGGCCCUUACGGCCAGGGCUACACACGUGCUACAAUGGCGCGUACAGAGGGCUGCCAACUCGCGAGAGUGCGCCAAUCCCUUAAAACGCGUCGUAGUCCGGAUCGGAGUCUGCAACUCGACUCCGUGAAGUCGGAAUCGCUAGUAAUCGCGAAUCAGAAUGUCGCGGUGAAUACGUUCCCGGGCCUUGUACACACCGCCCGUCACACCAUGGGAGUGGAUUGCACCAGAAGUAGUUAGUCUAACCUUCGGGAGGACGAUUACCACGGUGUGGUUCAUGACUGGGGUGAAGUCGUAACAAGGUAACC
rnacentral:rRNA from 1 species